rnacentral:tRNA from 1 species
UGGCUCAGAGGUAGAGUGCUUGUCUAGCAUGCAGGAGGCCCUGGGUUUGAUCCCCAG